ACAGGUGAUGGAGAUGUAAAAGUGUCAGUGAUCCAGAGCGGCGUGUCGGACUCGGUUCCUGCAGGAGCGUCAGUGACUCUGCAGUGCUCGGUUCUCUCUGAGAGCAGAUCAGCAGAACUCCAAGUGCUCUGGUUCAGAGCUGCUCCACCACAAUCCCAUCCUCAAAUCAUUUACACUCAUCACAACAGCAGCCAUCAGUGUGAGAGCGGCUCUUCUACACACACCUGUGUGUACAACUUCUCCAAGAACAUCCUCAGCCUCAAUGAUACUGGAACUUACUACUGCGCUGUGUCUGUGUGUGGGAAGAUCAUUUUUGGGAACGGGACACGAGUACAACUGAAAGAAUCUAUGGAUCCUGUAGUGAUCUUUCUCGCUGUAUCUUUGGGAGUGUGUGUGGUUGUGAUCUUUACUCAUGCUGUAACGUGUAAAGGGGGAAACUGUGAAUGUUGCACUGGGAAAACUCAAGAUUCUACGGUAAAGAAAACACCAAAUCAGAGCCGUGAUGCGGUGGAGCUGAAUUUUGCUGCCUUACACGUCAAUAAAAGAAGAGGAAAGAGGGAACGAGCUUGUGAUAAUGUGUAUACUGAAGUGAUUUACUCUUCUGUUUCUUAGAUAAUAGAUGUCAUUGAUUUUCUCAUGUUAAUUACUCUCAUGAUCAUAAUGUUCAUUAACUGAUGAUGAAUGAAUGAAUGAAUGAAUGAAUGAAUUAAUUAAUUGAUUAAUUAAUUAAUGCAUUUGUGGUCGACUUCACCCAAGUGU